rnacentral:rRNA from 1 species
AACGAACGCUGGCGGCAGGCUUAACACAUGCAAGUCGAGCGCCCCGCAAGGGGAGCGGCAGACGGGUGAGUAACGCGUGGGAACGUACCCUUUGCUACGGAAUAGCUCCGGGAAACUGGAAUUAAUACCGUAUGUGCCCUACGGGGGAAAGAUUUAUCGGCAAAGGAUCGGCCCGCGUUGGAUUAGCUAGUUGGUGGGGUAAUGGCCUACCAAGGCGACGAUCCAUAGCUGGUCUGGGAGGAUGAUCAGCCACAUUGGGACUGAGACACGGACCAAACUCCUAAGGGAGGCAGCAGUGGGGAAUAUUGGACAAUGGGCGCAAGCCUGAUCCAGCCAUGCCGCGUGAGUGAUGAAGGCCUUAGGGUUGUAAAGCUCUUUCACCGGAGAAGAUAAUGACGGUAUCCGGAGAAGAAGCCCCGGCUAACUUCGUGCCAGCAGCCGCCGUAACAC